rnacentral:rRNA from 1 species
AGAGUUUGAUCCUGGCUCAGAACGAACGCUGGCGGCGUGCCUAACACAUGCAAGUCGAGCGCGAAUGGAGCAAUCCUAGUAGAGCGGCGCACGGGUGAGUAACGCGUGGGUAAUCUGCCUGGAAGCCCGGGACAACCUGCCGAAAGGCUGGCUAAUACCGGAUAAGCCCACAGGGUCUUCGGACCCCGAGGGAAAAGAUGGCCUCUGCAUGCAAGCUAUCAUUUCCAGAUGAGCCCGCGACCCAUCAGCUAGUUGGCGGGGUAAUGGCCCACCAAGGCAACGACGGGUAGCUGGUCUGAGAGGACGAUCAGCCACACUGGAACUGAGACACGGUCCAGACUCCUACGGGAGGCAGCAGUGGGGAAUUUUGCGCAAUGGGCGAAAGCCUGACGCAGCAACGCCGCGUGUGUGAUGAAGGUCUUCGGAUCGUAAAGCACUUUCGACUGGGACGAAAACCCGCUGGCUAACAUCCAGCGGUUUGACGGUACCGGGAGAAGAAGCACCGGCUAACUCUGUGCCAGCAGCCGCGGUAAUACAGAGGGUGCAAGCGUUGUUCG